UACGAGGGGGGCAAGCGUUUGUUCGGAAUUAUUGGGCGUAAAGGGUGCGUAGGCGGUUUGGUAAGUCUUAUGUGAAAUCUACAGGCUCAACUUGUAGUCUGCAUGAGAAACUGCCGGGCUUGAGUAUGGGAGAGGUGAGUGGAAUUCCUGGUGUAGCGGUGAAAUGCGUAGAUAUCAGGAGGAACACCUGUGGCGAAAGCGGCUCACUGGACCAUAACUGACGCUGAGGCACGAAAGCGUGGGUAGCAAACAGG
rnacentral:rRNA from 1 species